rnacentral:lncRNA from 1 species
AAUUUCCAGUUUGCAGAAGGCUAAGGAAGGCACAGGAAGCUCCCUGGCUCCUCCGCCCUGGUGGUAUGAACAGUCACGCUGAUGCACCAUCAUGAACAAAUGAUUGCGCGUGCUGGCACCUGGUGCGCCGCCCACCUGUGGUGCGUGGGGCGGAGGUGCGAAGAGGGCGCGAAGGGCCGCGCUGCAGAGAAGGCCGCCAUGAUGGACGAUGGACGAUGGACGAGAAGGUGUCCAAGCGUUCGCGGAAGGAGGAGUUGGCCUUUUCCCUUAAACUCACAUUAGACUCUAACCUUGAAAAUUCUUGACCAGUUAAGUGCACAGACUGCAGCCAGAGACUCUGGGUUUGAAUCUCACCUCCACCACAACCAGGUGGAUAAUCUCAGGGGAGCAAGACUUGUUUGCUUGCUGUAUGGCAGAAGUCAGUUCAUCUGUGUGACAUCCUUACAACAGUGCUCGGCGUAAAGAAGGCACUCAGCAACUCAAGUUGAACUGUCAUUUGUAGUUAUCUUCACAACUCCAGUAGUUCCUAGUACUUGGAUGAUUGUAACAGUGGCUUCCCUGAAGAGAGAGAGCUCGUGUG